UGGGGAAUAUUGGACAAUGGGGGAAACCCUGAUCCAGCAAUGCCGCGUGAGUGAAGAAGGCCUUAGGGUUGUAAAGCUCUUUCGCCCGCGAAGAUAAUGACGGUAGCGGGAGAAGAAGCCCCGGCUAACUCCGUGCCAGCAGCCGCGGUAAUACGGAGGGGGCUAGCGUUGUUCGGAAUUACUGGGCGUAAAGCGUUCGUAGGCGGAUGCGCAAGUUGGGGGUGAAAUCCCGGGGCUUAACCUCGGAAUUGCCCUCAAAACUGCACGUCUUGAGACCGAGAGAGGUAAGGGGAAUUCCUAGUGUAGAGGUGAAAUUCGUAGAUAUUAGGAAGAACACCAGUGGCGAAGGCGCCUUACUGGCUCGGUACUGACGCUGAGGUACGAAAGCGUGGGGAGCAAACA
rnacentral:rRNA from 1 species